rnacentral:rRNA from 1 species
GACGAGGGAUCCUAGCGUUGUUCGGAAUCAUUGGGCGUAAAGCGGGUGUAGGCGGCCUUAUAAGUCAGAUGUGAAAUCCCAGGGCUUAACUCUGGAAGUGCAUUUGAUACUGUAAGGCUUGAAUGUGGUAGAGGUUACUAGAAUUCUUGGUGUAGUGGUGAAAUACGUAGAUAUCAAGAGGAAUACCGGAGGCGAAGGCGGGUAACUGGGCCAACAUUGACGCUGAGACCCGAAAGCGUGGGGAUCAAACAGG